GAUGAACGCUGGCGGCGUGCUUAACACAUGCAAGUCGAACGAUGAAGCCCAGCUUGCUGGGUGGUUUAGUGGCGAACGGGUGAGUAACACGUGAGUAACCUGCCCUUAACUCUGGGAUAAGCCUGGGCAACUGGGUCUAAUACCGGAUAGGAGCGUCCACCGCAUGGUGGGUGUUGGAAAGAUUUAUCGGUUUUGGAUGGACUCGCGGCGUAUCAGCUUGUUGGUGAGGUAAUGGUUCACGAAGGCGACGACGGGUAGCCGGCCUGGGAGGGUGACCGGCCACACGGGGACUGAGACACGGCCCAGACUCCUACGGGAGGCAGCAGUGGAGAAUAUUGCACAAUGGGCGCAAGCCUGAUGCAGCGACGCCGCGUGAGGGAUGACGGCCUUCGGGUUGUAAACCUCUUUCAGUAGGGAAGAAGCGAAAGUGACGGUACCUGCAGAAGAAGCACCGGCUAACUACGUG
rnacentral:rRNA from 1 species